rnacentral:rRNA from 1 species
GAUGAACGCUGGCGGCGUGCCUAAUAAAUGCAAGUCGAGCGAAUGGAUUAAGAGCUUGCUCUUAUGAAGUUAGCGGCGGACGGGUGAGUAACACGUGGGUAACCUGCCCAUAAGACUGGGAUAACUCCGGGAAACCGGGGCUAAUAGCGGAUAACAUUUUGAACCGCAUGGUUCGAAAUUGAAAGGCAGCUUCGGCUGUCACUUAUGGAUGGACCCGCGUCGCAUUAGCUAGUUGGUGAGGUAACGGCUCACCAAGGCAACGAUGCGUAGCCGACCUGGUAGGGUGAUCGGCCACACUGGGACUGAGACACGGCCCAGACUCCUACGGGAGGCAGCAGUAGGGAAUCUUCCGCAAUGGACGAAAGUCUGACGGAGCAACGCCGCGUUGGUUAGGAAGGCUUUCGGGUCGUAAGACUCUGUUGUUAGGGAAGAACAAGUGCUAGUUGAAUAAGCUGGCACCUUGACGGUACCUAACCAGAAAGCCACGGCUAACUACGUGCCAGCCGCCGCAGUAA